rnacentral:rRNA from 1 species
AAAAAUUGUAUAAUUAAUAUGCCUGAGUAGUAUUAGUUAAGGUCUUGAAACUCAAAAAAUUUGGCGGUAUUUUAGUCUAUUUAGAGGAACCUGUAGUAUAAUCGAUAAUCCACGAUGGACCUCACUUAAUUUUGUAUUUCAGUUUGUAUACCGCUGUUAUUUGAAAAUUUUAUAAGAAUAUUAAUUUUCAUAAUUUUAAAUUAAAAAAUAAAUCAGGUCAAGGUGCAGCUUAUGAUUAAGUAUUUAUGGGUUACAAUAAAAUUAUUUAUAUGGAUUAAGACAUGAAAAUUGUUUUUUGAAAGCGGAUUUAAUAGUAAAUUUUUAUAGAUAAAAUAAUUGAUU